AUUCGUGAUUUACUCGGCCACAAAAACCACCGCCCCAAAUCCAAUGGACGGUCCCAAACCGCCAUUCUCCUAAAACCAUUCCAGCUACGACGUCGUCGUCCUUUGUUCGAUGCUUUUUCCUGCGUCCCAAACCAAACAUAUACAGCUGCUGCUGCUUGUUGCAGGUAUUCGUCUCACUAAACUCAAAACCGUCCGCUGUACAGAGUGUAGACUUGCGUAUAAAUACGUAUUAUCAUUUCGUACAUCAAUUGCGACAGAUAGAAGGCUGGAAUGCAAACUGAAGCUAGAGCUCGGGUGGUGGUGGAAGGAGGAGGAGGGCGCGGCGGGCAGAGGGUUAUGAAUACUGGCCAUGGAGCGGUGGUGGUCGACGGAGGCGCCUCCGGUGCUGCCCAUAAGUUGAUGGAGCAGCAUAAGGAGAGAGCCUUUCAUCAUAAUCAUCAAUCGCACAUCGGAACAGUUUCGCAGCUUCUCGCCGGCGGAAUUGCCGGUGCUGUGGGCAAGACCUGUACCGCUCCUCUUGCUCGCCUCACUAUUCUCUUUCAGCUACAAGGAAUGCAAUCUGAUGCUGCUAGCCUGAAGAAAGCUAGUAUAUGGCAUGAGGCCAGGCGUAUAAUGAGAGAAGAGGGAUUUCGGGCAUUCUGGAAGGGAAAUUUGGUCACAAUUGCUCAUCGUCUGCCCUAUUCUUCUGUCAGCUUUUAUACAUUUGAGCGCUAUAAGAAUCUCCUACAGUUAAUUUGGGGAGUUGAAAGUCCAGGAGAAAAUGUAAGAAAAGACCUUUGUAUACGACUUGUAGCAGGUGGGUUGGCUGGAAUAACUGCUGCUUCUGUUACAUACCCUCUGGAUCUUGUAAGGACACGCCUUGCUGCUCAGACAAAUGUUGCCUAUUACCAUGGUAUUUGGCAUGCUUUAUGUACAAUUAGCAGGGAAGAAGGUGCCUUUGGCCUCUAUAAAGGACUUGGAGCAACUUUAUUGGGUGUUAGUCCUAAUUUGGCAAUCAGUUUCUCGGUUUAUGAUACAGCAAGGACAUUAUGGCAUUUUCACAGGCCAGAUGACUCAACUGUCUUGGUCAGCCUUAGUUGUGGCAGUCUAUCAGGCAUUGCAUCAUCCACCGGUGAGGUUCCGCUAAGCGCUUAUUCAUAUUACUGCAUUAAGUUUUUCUUUCGAAAAUUUAUUUGUUUUCUAAGAAGAAUUUGGAGAAUGAAAAUACAGUUUGUUUUCAGUGUCCAGCUGUUGUGGCGUUGUGCCUGCUAACACUUGUUUUCUGCAUCUUUUGAACUGGAACUGCCUUUCUUGGGUAAUUUAGGCAGGAGAAAAGACAAUGGUAUAACCUCACUCCUCGCAAAAGUCUUUGAAGGUUGGCCUUGUACUAAUAUUACUCGAAUACCUAAACAUGACCAGCAGCUGUCACUCUUUUACCUGGAAAAGCUCUAGAUCCAGCACAACUUAUAAGAUAGUGGUGCUUCUUCUGGUGCUCAGAAUAGUGUAAACUGAGUUGCUGGUUUACAACCUUCUGGUUGUAUUCGGAAACAUUCUAUUGAAUGAACCAGGCGUGUGUAGGUAUGCACUACUUGCUAACGGGAUAUGGUCAUAGUGAGUUAGAUUUAGUUCAGUCUACAUGGAAAAAGACACAUUUUUUUAAUAAAUUGCUAUUGUUUUAGUAAGUGCGUUUUUUAAGAGGAACUAUGCAAUUGAUCUAACCUCUUUUAUUGUUUAACCUUUUUUUGUUGUACUUGAUGCUGAACUUCCAUCCGAGACACAUUGUGCUAGUGUUGCUUUUGUUUCUUGUAAACAUUUUGUUUUAACUAUUCUUUUGAUUGUUUCAUCCUUCAGAGUACUGCAAACUAAAGAUUGUAGAGAAUUAUUGCAGUUAUAUAUUCAUGCUUUGUCCCCAGAAUUUGCUGCAAUUAUGUUGCGUACUGCUUCUACAUAUUGCACAGAAACCAAAGAGAGAAUUGUAGAUAAUGAUGGGUUUUGACAGUUGAAAAGUGGAUCACUCGCUGCUGAGUUACAUGAAUAAACCCCUUCUUUUUGGUAUUUAAUGAAAGAUGUUACUGGCUCUCGCUGUCUUCAUUGCUUUUGAUGCAGAGAAGCAGAUAGAGGUCCAAGUGUUUACUAAGUAACUAAUCAGACUGGUCCUUAGAGCUAGAUGCUCUCAAAUGUUUGGAAUAUGGGAAUUUGUGCAAGGAAAGUGGAACAAAAAUUUUUACUUCUUGCAGUUCAGAAAGUAAAUUUAUUGUUUACGUAAGAGUUUUAAUAGUAUAACUUUCGGUGUCCUACAUUCAUUGGAUGCUUGGCUCUCCAAACAUGCAGUUGGCUCCAUAUAGGGUGGCUAUUUUGAGGUGACCCAAAAUGUGUUUGAGGUUGCCAGAUGUGAGAGGCGUCCUCUUUGAGGUCCCAAAAUCCCCAGUAGGAAAAGGAAAAGGAAAACCAAGAAAAGAGCAGAAGAGGAUUAAAUCACGUGCUAGCACAGAAGAAGAAAGGCAUAUCUAGGAAAAAUGAUUUUUUUUCCUUCUCUUGUUUUCUUUUUGUUGGGGGGGGGGGGGGGUUAAUGGAUGGAGAAAGAGGAGAAAACUAGAAAUGCCACAUUAACUUAGAUAAGAGAAAAGUAGACGCAUAAUGUAAAAGUACCCUCAUGCAAAACCUACAAAGUUGUCUCAACUGACUUUGGUCUCUAGUUAAAGAGUUUUUUGCCUUGGGCCCUAAUUCAUUUUGUAGUUAAAUCCUUGAAAGAUCAUACUGAAUUAGUUUUCCAUUGUAUUAUUCAAGCUUUGCAACUCAUUGUUGGGCAACCUAACAUUGGUGGUGAACAUUAAUUGUAUACAUUUGUUUCUUGAAAUGGGAUGUUAAUGUAUCCGGUUGGUGACUUGGUUUAUUCUAUUUACUUUCCCCUUAGCUCAUACAUCCAGGGAAAAAAAAUGCACUAUUUAGGUAUUGUUACCUAAUUGUUGUCAGCUGUAAUAUGUAUUUUCCUUUUCUUAUAAAUCAGUGACUGCGUAACUUCAUGUAGAAGCUUGAUUUUUGGUGAAAAUUCAGGCAUAAUAUUCUGGUUUUUGUGACAUUUUCAUUGAGGUACAGUGUGACUUCCUUCACCCACUGGACUGGUUUUUGUCUUUUUUUUCCCCCUUGAUUUCAUAUACUUUAUUUUGUAGCAACAUUCCCUUUGGAUCUUGUGAGGCGCCGAAUGCAGUUGGAAGGAGCAGGUGGUCGAGCCCGUGUUUACAAGACGGGACUUUUUGGUACAUUCAGGCAUAUAUUUCGAACGGAAGGCUUUCGCGGUUUGUACAGAGGAAUUUUACCUGAAUAUUAUAAGGUAGUGCCAAGUGUGAGUAUUGUGUUCAUGACGUAUGAAAAGUUGAAGCAGGUUUUAUCAAACAUUCCUGGAAGUUGACUCUGUUGGUGUCCCGGAAAGUAACUUCAUAUAUUCAAGCACAAUGCAUGAUAUGAAGAUGGUUUGUUAGACAACAUUUCUCAGAUAGGGCUAUGUUGUAAUUUGUAAUACCGGAAAACCGCAAUUUUCUUGUAUAGAGCGGUAUUCUUCAAUUUUACGCCAGCAUAUUCUUCACACCUUCAUAGAAUCAUCUGUAAGACGAAAAAUUUUGAGCAUCUGCCUUCAUUGAUCCAUCUAGUUUAGGUAUUUUUCUUUUUGGA